CUAAGCAGGGAGCUGGGAGGAAGGCACAAUGUGAGGGAAGGAGCCCUAAAGCUGGAGACAGGUCCCCACGCGUCGGUUUUGAGAGGCACUAUUGGUUUCAGAUAGAUUUCAUUCUUGUAUUGGAAGGAAGUGCUUCUUUCAUAAGGGAUGGAAAAAUAUCUACGUCUCUAGUGAAGGGCAGUUGCUCCAGGGUAGAGAAUGGUCUACAUAAAAAUGACGACCCGAUGCCAGGUGGAAUCACAUGGGGUUUAUGCUAAUAAGAGUAAUUGAAUUUAGAGCAAUAGCUGUGCGCUGUGAAUGGCUGUUGGAAGCCAGCGGCUCCUGGGGAAGAGACGUAAAGGGUUUCUAAUAUGCAAAUGAAGCCGGGUAUGAAACCCCCAGGAUAAAAGAAUCCCAUGAAUCUCAUUCAUCAUUUUAUUAACAGAGAUUCCACGUCUUGGCAUCUGUCCCAGGGGAAGAUGAGACAGAGAGGGAGAGAAUGAUGGAGAUGAAGAUUUACCUACUAUAAGUAUUUGAGUCAUGUUUAUAAUAAGCUGGAAAAUUGCUACUUGUUUUUGGCUGCUGUCACCGAGAUGAUAGCUACCCCAGAAUGGAUUAAAUCUGCCAGUUCAGCACAGACCAGUCUGGUCAGCGAUCAGUGAGGAGAGGCCCUUGAGAAGUCCAUGACAAUGACAGAACUGUUGGAAGAACAGUGCUCGUGUACAAAGAGAAUCUUGCACAGCCUCAGCACGUGGUAGUGCAUCAAGGUCUCUUGCUCCAGCGUGGUGUCCAUCCCGCAACUCACUUGUACCUACAAAUGCCCAGCAGCACGGAAGCAGAGUGGCCACUGACAAUGUCUAGAAGGAACUCGGUCUCUUUAUCUCUGGAAAUGGUCAUGCAACAAUGGAGGAGAGCCAGACCGGCUGCAACUUUCUUGCUAUCCAGCUAGGAUGAAAGAGGGACGGGCCAGAGAAGGAUUGAGAAAUGUAUGCAGAACCGCUGAAUUAAGCCAACUCUAAAAACCGCCAUUCUGUUGGAAUUUCCAGGUUCUCUCUCUUUCUCUUGGAUCACCCACCUGAAGGGAAGCCAUGUCAUCAGCAACCCCCUGGAGAAGACUGUGUGAGGAACUGAGGCCUCCUGCCAAUACCAAUGGUUCAUUCGUAACACUGCUGAGGGACCUGCUUCCAACACUACGGCUGCUCCUCCUCCAACUUUUUUGUUCCUAUCCUUGGUGCAAAGAGACAGUUGCUGCUUGGGCACUGUUUGUACUCCGGGAAAAGCAAAAGGUAAAAAUGGAGCACUAAUAGACCAUGAGAAGAGGACUCUGAAACAAGUCGAGGAGAGCCCUGUCUACACCCUCCCCCUGCUGGAACAUUUCUAGAUAGCAGGUAAAGUAGUAUAUAUUUAAUUUUGCAAUUAUGACUCUGUCCUCACACGUACAUAUACACACACUCACUCCGAUGUUAAAGGCCUCAUACUUUUCAAAAUAUAAAAUGGUACUUAGUCCAGAGUGCAUGUUUGGAAUACAAGCACUUGAUGUGCUGAACUAAGCCCAGUUAAGGUUUUUAACUACUGAUGAUGGACUUAAAAGGUGAAUACAGCCCCCAACUUUGCUCCUUAGUAAUUCCAGAGUUUCUCUACUGAUGUGAAGAGCAAUUUGAGCUCUCGGAGAGGCCCUUCUGUGAAUUCUCACAACUGGGCAUGAUGCUUAGUCAAUAUUUGUGGAUGACAGUGUGAGGAAUUAAAGAGAUUCUUCUGGAGUGCCUAGGGGAUUUAUUUCAACUUGACGUAUAGAAGAAUGUGAAAUUUAGAUAUGUAAGAGAAAUUAUAUGAGGGACUCCAUCUGAUUACUAAAAUUUUCAUUGUGCCCUGGGUUGCAAACACAUAAAUGGGUUUUUAAAGAAGAUUGAGAAGAGAGGAAUAUCAAGGGCAAGAGCCUGCAGCGUUCUAGAGGGAAUGGUUGGUCCAGGGCUCUAGCCACGGCGGGAACUGUCAUAAUGCCCUCAGGAGUGGUCCCCUGCCCAACACUGAGUAUUUCUUAGGGCAGUGUGGUCUGGGUGGGGUGUGCAUGUAUGUCAAGGAAAAUAAGAGUAUAUCAGUGAGGAGCAGGGUCAGUAUCAUCCUUUUUACUUCACAGCAUCUCAAGAAAGAAGAAAGCAGAGGAGAGGGGAGGAGAGAAAAGGGAGGGGAGGAGAAGGAAGGGGAGAGAUUUAGCCAAAGGAGUGAGGAAUGGAACAUGCAGCUGCAUAGGAAGAUUUCUAAGCAGUCCUUGGUUGAGGGAAGAAGGCUCAAAGGAGCAGUGAGCAUGCUGGGAGAGAGAAAAAUCCAGCCAUUUUGGGUGUGGGUAACAACUCACCCUCUGCUGGAUUCUCAGGGUCAGGGAUGUUCUCUGUUAUGAAAAGGGUUUUUUGGGUAGAGAAAAUGGAUUGAGAUUUGAAAGAUGGGGUCCUCUGCCCAGCAGAGGAAAGGUGGGCAAAGUCUGGUGCCCAGGCCUGCGUGGGCUGCAGUGCCUGUCUGCACCCCCAGGAGUGGGAUCUACCCUUCCUUUUCUCCACUUGCACUCACUUCUCCCUGCCCAUUCCCCUCCCACCAGUGCCGCUGGGUGGCAGCCACUGUUUACCCCAUACUCUUGUAAAUGAUGGGAAGAGAGAUGAGGAGGGUGGGGAGGUUCAGGGAAAACAGUCAUGGAGAGAGAUGGGGGCCGAGUCCCGCCCUGCACCCAGCCUGGCCUCUGUGAGACGUUGCCGGGAGCAGAAACUCCCUAGGCAGCAGAGCAGCCAGACUUCUUACAGCCUCCCCAGGGGGACGUGGUGGGUGGAGAGGGCCUCUCGGAUCAGCUCAGACUCUAUAUUCCUUAAAAGGAGCCUGGGGGAUAUGCACCUUCCUUGAGCAUCACAGCCGAGUCCAGCUCAUUUUGGAGUAACACAGAGUGGGGCCAAUCCCAGUUUGGGAAGGAGAUGGGACAAAGGAACAGAGCGUCUCUGUCUCCUUGUGGAACAGCUAAGCCGUUUCAGGCUCUAUCCUGUUUCUCUUGUUCCCACUUUUGAGGACUGAGAGCCCGUCAUGAACCCUUGCACAGAGCCUGGGUUGGGAAAGGCUAUGCCCUGGGUGCUUAGGGGACCUCAGAGUUUAGCUGUGCAAGGACACAUUGUACGUGGAGUCUCUGUUUCCUUGAGGUAUUGCAUCUUCUCGUAUGUGUAGGAGGAAGUGAGCUGGGUGUUUGGAGGAAGAGGAGAGAGGUGCAACUGGUUGGAUUUAGGGGUGGAUGAAGUAAUGCUGUCAGAAUCUCAGUGAUGUGCAUAACCUUGGGCUGUGUGGGGCCCGGAUACGGGAGCCACUGGAGAGCUUAUCCUGAGAAACUCUGGCAAGGGACAGGGUUGAACUAUUUUUGGGAAGUCAGACCCAACUGAUAGGUAGCAGCAAGCAGCAGGACUCAGGGGCAGGAGUCAAGGGCUCUGUCUGGCACUUGUGUUCUCAUUCACAAGCUGCCAUGUUUGCAUUCCUGAUUCUCUUUUCCAAACUGUUGGUAACCCCCUUCCCUCCCUCUUUAACCCAUUUAAAUAUGGCUUUAAUGGUGGUUGUCCUGUUGUAAUCGGGAGUGGGCAGGGCAUCUGUUCUCUGAUGGAUGUGACAACUUUGUCUUCCAGAUGAAUUUCACCACGAAUUUUUCAAGUUCUAGAAUGGACAAGUGUGAGUAUUAAUUAGUACCACAUAUCCAAACCAUUUACUUUUUCUCUCUCCAGUUGUUCCUGCUCCUUUUGUUUUUUCUUUUUAUGGUUUUGAGACUUUCUUUGCUUUAAGAAAAUCUCUUUUAGUUCGGGGAUGUGUAACUUAUCUAGUAUUUAAUAUCCUUAGUUGUGAUCUUAGAGUGGAAUUCGGUCAAUAUAUUAUCCAACUAUUUCAUAAACGUAUAGAAAUACAAUUUUUUUCUUGUAAAUUUAUCUUAUUUGACUUUCUUCUCAAAUAUCAAUCCCAAGCAUUGUUGGGCCUAUGUUACUGAGAAAAAGCAUGUUGCGAGCUGAGCUGGAAGAUAGUUUCUAGUCUCCAUUCUUAUCUUUUUCUUCCUUUGUGACUUGUGAUAAGCCGUUUAACUGUUCUGAGCCUUUGGUCACUAUUUGGGAAAUGAGACAGCAAUCCAUCUCUUCUACCUCACUAUGCAGAUUUGAUUUGGAGAACUACGCACAUAUACGCAACCAAACUGUGCCAAGGUCCCUCUGUCAUUGGUGAAACCAUGAUUUAGCGUUUGGUAAGAUUCCAUGCCUGAGAUGCUUGGUCUUUUCUUCUCCAUAGUUGAUGCUGAGGGAAAGAAUGGGGAUUUCUUAAUAUUGAUGGGUCAUGGCACAUGACCCCCUCGGGGCUUGGUAUUGCCUGUGAAUAGAUAUCGCUCAUCUUUUCCUAUGAUGUGCAUAUCAGACAUUGUCUAUUUGGCUCCUGCUAUGGUCUUGCCGUUGGCUGCCUGUGCUUUUACCUUCAGCAUCACCAGAACAAUGUUCAGUUGAACUGGAGUUCAUAUUCAAUGAACUCUAAAAAAAACCAUUUGACACGACCUCCAAGAGCAUGCGUGGUUUAGUCCAUGCCUGCCUCUCCAGCUUUAUUUCUCCCAGGCCACUCUCUCUACUGUUGGCAUCUUAAGUAUGCCACAUUUCUUCUCUGCACUUAGGCAUUACUCCUGCAGUUCCUUCUACCUAGAACACAAUUGCCCUCACUCUCCUCCUACCCAUUUCAACUAGGUGAUUCUUGCUCAUCUUUCAGAUUUCGGCUCCAUGGUUCUUAGAGAAGCCCCUCUCCUAGAUCAGGGCUUUAUGCUCUCACAGUGCCAUGUACUGAUCCUCUAAAACCUCUAUCUCAGAGAAGUUUCAUAGAGUUACUUGUGAUCUUCAUCAGGCAGGAGCUAUCCUUCUGCUCACGAUUAUGUUCCUAAUGUCCAGCAUGCAAGAGAUGCUCAAUAAGUAUUUGUUGAAUGAAUCAAUAAAUGAGUGAGUUUAGUGUUUGAAACUUGUUACCAGUUUGUGCCUAUAGAGGGAAAGCAUCGGGACUUGAUGUUGUCCUGAUUCCCAGUGAAAACCCUUUGCAAGCACUAGCUCAGCUCUGGAGACAGAGGCAGCCGUGACUCCCACCCAAUGAGCAAAGAGUCUGUCAGCUCAGCGGCUGGGGAAGAAGUUGGGCUUCCUUUUUCCAGGGCAGACCCCCAGCAGAGCCAUGGAGUGGUCGCUUUGCCUUCUGGCUCAUUGGCCCCUUUGGGUCCUCACCCUCUUGGGUGUCCUGGACCCUCAGCUCUUCUUUCAUAUCCUUGAAGGCCCCUAUGCCUGCAUCCCUGCUCUCCUCUGUCUCUGGCAACCUUUCCAGCCCUGGCUGUAGGGCCUAAAGAGUCCCUCCAUCUCUGAGCUCCUUUUUGGGGUGUCUGUAUUCUUCCCUGGACUGUGAAUUCUGCCCUGCUCUGGGGCUUUGCUUCAACCGUUACUUUCAACUGCCAUCAGAAUGUUCUCUCCUUAAAAUUCUCAGGGGUUGGCACCCUGGUUCUGUAGCUGGGUGGAUGACAAGCCUCGAGCACAGGGUCCAGGCUUUCAUCUUCUGAGUAGGCUCAGCCUUCAGUAUACAGUAACUAUACAGCAACGCAUCGUGAUUCAAUUCUUUAAUUGAACUCUUACUCAAAUUUUCAAGGCAGUCAUGGCCGCCUGCCUGACUCCUCUGCUAUGGUUUCACCACCUCACUGGACUCUCCCUGCCUGCGAAGAAUCCUCUUGUGGGUACAUUGGCAGACCCAGCUGAGGAAAGUUGGGGUCCAAAGGACUUCUUGCCUUUUCACUUGGCCCAGGCCCCAAGGCAACUGUGACUCUAGGCAGUAACUGCCCCUGGUUGAAACUGCCCCAAAGCUUUCUUCCCUCAAGAUUGCAGCGACUUCUGCUUCUCCACCCUCAGGGCUGGGCCAGGCCUUGGAGGAAGAGGGCAGCCCAUGCCGGUGGCUCAAAGAGAUAGUGAAAAGGUGUCGCUUAUAGUGGCUUCCCCUGGCGUCACUGCAUUUAGAUCUAAGAAAUAGGAACUUGUGCCUUCCCUACCCCCACAAAGGCCUCAGGCAUAGCCAACUCUCCUCUGGGCUUCUGUCUCAGCUGGGAAAUUUAGGGAUCCCUCUCUUACUUGAUUGUAUCCUUAAUAAAGCCCUGAUGUUUUGUACCAAGGAGACACCCAUUCAAUCAGAGCUGGCUUUGGGCCUCACUCUUGCUACUUCUGGAACAAGGCACUGUUCAUUCUUUCCUCAUUCAUUCAUUCUUCCAUUCAUUCAUUUCAUAUCUGUUGAACACCCUAUAUGCCAGGCAUUAGAUAGGUACAAGGGGUACAAAAAAUGUCAGACAAACAGAAACAGACUUCAGCUUCAGAGAGCUCCUGGUCUAAUGGACCCCCUUGUGUGAAGGGAGCAGGUUGUGAGGGGCCCCUGGCUGGAAGGAGGUGUAGGGGUUAAGGGUGUAAGCUGAGGCUGGGAAGGGAAGCCAAGAUGUUAUGAGAACUUGCAGACCAAGUUUACAAUUUAAGCUUUUAGCCUCGAAGGCUUGGGGAGCCAUUGAAGUCUUUUAAGACAAGGAAAGAAAUAAUCACAUUUGGGUUUUUUAAAAAAGAAGACUCUAGCUGCUGUGGGAAACACAAGUUAGAAGAAGGCAGGAGUAGAGAUGAGUCAGGAUCCCCUUGGGCAAUGCUGGCAGCGACGAUCGGAGGGGCUUGGGGAGAAAUGGUUGGAAAUGUAACCCGGGUGGAGGACAUUGACAGGCCAUGGAAUGGAUUGCACGUGGGCUGAAGCACAGGGAUGGUUUACUGUGAAAGAAAACACUGGAGGAGGGCUCAUCAGAGGGACACAAUUCUAAGUUAGGUUUGGGACAUGUUGAGAUGAGGUGCCUUUGAAAGGAGGAGGUAUUCAAGGAUGGAGCUCAUGGGAGAGACCUGACCUGUAGACAGAGGUUGGUGAAUUAUCUGCUUAUAUGUAAUUACUCCAUGGGCAUGGGGGAGCUUGCCUAGGAGAAAGACUGGAAAAGCGAGGGUGCCUUAGGGGAAUGGAGGAGGAUUUCUCAAAGGAGGCUGAGGAGGAAUGGCCAGAGAUAUAGCAGGAAUGCCAGGAAAUUGUACUGUCACUACAGGCUUGAAAGAGUAUGUUUGCUUCUCUCCCCAGCCAUUCGCCUGGGGAGAUGAUUUUGUCACAGACACAUCUCCUUCAUCUUGAAGGUGAAAUGUAGGGAGAUGGGUAGGAAACCACUGUCAUCUGGGAAAGGCAUGACGGUGUUCUCAUAGUCUGAGCAGGAGACCAAGGAAUGCUCUGGCAAAUUCCAUUAGAUUUGGUGGCAGGGAGAGGCAUAUCCCAGAGUUGUGGGGCAGGCAUGAAGAAACUUUUGGAAAUUCAAGACUGGAUGGCAGCAUUUUCUCUGUCUACGUGUCCAUGGGCUAUAAGCCAGGGAUGUUAUGAAGAACGGGAACAAGGAAGACAGCGGGCAGGAGAUGAGGAGGCUCUUCAGAGUGGUUGUGGGCAUUGAGAAGCCUGAUUUAGGGAGGGUAGUCAGAGGGGAGAGCAAGACCAGCUCUGACCACUGGCAUCCAAGAAGUGCCAGCUUCCACGUCCUGUUGGGUUGUGAGAUAGGCAGAAGCUCUUUUUUUCCUGGCUUAGCCAUGUUUCUUAGAGAAGCAAGAAGCAGAGGAGUUUGUCACUAUAAAGGUAAGAGAAAAGUCAGAGGGGCAGAGAGGAUGGAAUAAGGGAAACCAGUGAGGUCCCCGAAGGGAACAGGCUGGGAAUGCAGGACUGUUAUUCCAUAUUUAUGUGGGCUCUGAGAAAAUCUCUGAAGCCCAUCCAGCCCCUCUGCCUUCCCCAGCCUUUUUAGAGCUGCUCAGAGCAUCUGUGGGGUGCAGAGAAAAGGGGCUGUGGAGAGGCAGGCUGAGAGAAGCUGGGAAGGGUCAAUGCGGGCCCCAGGUAAAGAUGACCUCAGCAGAUAGAGGCAGCCUGUCAGAUCCCCUCCACCACUCCCUGGGCCAGCAAGCCACAGCUUGGGGCAGGCUGGUCCCCCUCAAAGCCCUGGGUCCAAUCGCCAUCUUAUGCCUGGCCAUUCCAGACAGAUCUAUCUGGAGUCCCUCAGGGUGAAGCCCCAUCACAUGAAGGCAGGGCAGUCCUGCCAAGGUGCAGGCUUGAGGCCAUGGCUGCAUGAGGAGGUGGGAGCAGUAGGGGGUGGGGAAAUGGGGCAAAAAGAGCACUUGCAGACCCCCUUUGGGGUGUGGCUUCAUUUUGUCCUCCAAGACAAGACAUAUGUUGGCAUAAAGAAAUAGAUUUUCAAGAGGAGGCAGGAGGCUCAGCAUGGGCACCAGAGGAGGAUGCCAUGACUUUGAAGGGACAAUUUUGGAGUGAUUCUCCCAAGGAUGGGGGGUCAGUGCUGCACUUACAGCCCUAAGUUCCUCACCUCAUAGGGUUGUUGUUGUUGUCCGUGAAUUUUUAAACAGAAUCCUUAGAACAGCCAGACACACCACCGAUGUUGGUUAACAUCACAAUUUCCUAAGGCAUUGUCCAUUUAUGUGAAAUUCUUGGACUUUGUGGGUACAAACCACAUCUCCUAUUGAUGUGGCCCCCUAUGCUGCUCAAAAAGUAGGCAUUCCAAGUUCAUGAGUGAAUAGUAAUGACGAUAAGAUUCGCUUUUAGGGUUACAUAAUUAGGGUCAGUUUGGAGAAAUUUUUUUCCAAGAAUGCUUAUUAGAGCAGAAGGGAUACAGAAUUAGGAGUCAGAAGACCAGAAAUAAUUUGAGUAUUUCCACGUGCUGCAACCAGUGCUGGGGGCUGGGACUUCAAUGGCCGUCAAGAUAGAGAUGGUACCUGCAGUAACAGAGCUGGUGACUCUGUUGGGGAGACAGACAAAAAAGAUGAGUUAGAAAAUAAUUACAAAUUAUGACUAAUGCUAUGAAGGGGGAAAAAACCCAGUGGGAACAGUAGGAUGGAUGUUACCUAACUUUAGGUCAUGGAAAGCUUCUCUGAUAAGGUAACCUGAAACCAACUAUUGGCCACCCAAAAGCAGGGGUGGGGGUGUUUAGGAGGUGAUAAGAGCAUUCUGGGUAGAAAAGGAUUUCCUUUCUCAAUUAGCUGAUCUUGGGUAUCUCUGUGAGCACCAGUUUCUACAUUUGUGAAAUGAGGAUAAUUCUACUUAUCCAGCUGACCACACAGGGCUGGUGUGAGGAUGAAAUGAUAUGAAAGAAUUUUGUUAACCACAGACUGAUGUAAAGACCACAAGUCUGUGAGGAAAGAACUCACUGAUAAUUUUCUUUCACUUUUUCUGUUCAUUAAAUUUGGUUCCCAUGUAUAACAUGACUGUAACUUGGGGAGCUCUCUCUGAGAGGGACAGUGGCUAAAGGUCAUGUUGAGAAGAAAUGACCAUAGAGUCAUGAAUAGCCGUGCAAGGAGAUGACGUUGUUGGAGGUAGACAAAGGUGAUUCUCUGGACAGGGGAUGGCUGAGCUGAGUCUUAAACGAUGAGGAGGAGAUUCUAGGUUUUUGUAAAGCUGAAGAGCUGGAGAAAAAUUGAGGGUAGAGCAGUUGGUACAUAUUUCAGUAUUCUGUAGACACAAACGCUUCUAGGACCUGUCCUGGGGGAAGGGUGUGGUUAACAAUAGUUAAUCUUCACAAGCUCCCAUUAAAUGCUGCAAACAGGCAGAUAGGAUUUUCCCUGGCUGCUCAGAAAUGUGACUUCCAUCCAGUAGAUCAUCAACAGGUGUUUGAUGAAUUGAAGGACACUCCAAAGAUGGGAGGCAGCCGAGGAAGUCACUGCCAGGCUGUCCUGCAAUCCCUUGGCUAUAAAGGAGUACGUCAGAUCAGGAUCAAAACUUUCUGUGGGUUUGCAAAAACAACUCAUUUCAUGUGCACAGUGAAGCAAGACAAGUACUAAAAAUGAACGAAUCCAGGAACGGCCCUCUGGGGAGAAGGCCAAUCUCCUUGGGCUGGACAGUUGGACAGUGGGGCAUCAGCCACAGCUACAUUUCCUCCAUUUGGUCUGAAACUCAUGGACUGUGCCACUCUGCUGAUUAUGUCAUAGGGUCACUGAGAACCUUGGUGACCACUCAGCCAUUGCCCACAGCUUCUGAAUGGUGUUCUCCAUGUGAGUCUUGUUGUAUUGGUGAUGUUGAGAAAAUUUAGCCAGAAAGAAGUAUGAGCCGGUUGGUGAAGAAGUUGCCUACAACAGGACGUAGCAAUGUCACAUCCUGAUGACAUUUUCUCAGCUACAUGUUCAUCUCAAAAGACUGAAACACUGAAGCAAGUAUUCUAGCAAAGGGGCUCUCAGGUGGCCUUCAGUCACCUGUCAGCAGUUUGUUGGGAGGCUCCGGACUCAGCAGGAACUUCUGUCAAUGGAAGGUCCCACCACCGCUCACGGGAGGAAGACCCCAUGUUGCCAAGUGGUGUGAAGGAGAAGGCGAAGCAGGGUUGGGUGACACCUCAGCCAUCCAGCAGUGCGGGGGAGAAAAUGCAGCGUCUCCAAAUUCAUUCUCAGCGGAUGUGAAUGGCCUUGCUGUUUCCUGAAAUUCAUCCACUUUCUCUCCCUCCCACCACCAACCUGGUUACCCUGUAGAUUACAAAUGCCAGCUGCCAGCUGUGGCCAGUUUACCUGAAGAGAACUCUGUUUGCAAUUCCAAUUUGGAUGGUUGGCAUUAUCCUCGCGACAUCACAGGCAAAAAAUACGUGCGAAAUUGAAUCAUUCUAGCAUGGGAAGGACUAGCCCAAGAGGAGAAAAAAAGGGGAGCUGGAUGCUUCUGGAUGCUGGCUCCACCCUUAGGUCACCCCAAGCUCGACAGUUCUACAAGCUCAGAGGAAGGGAAGGGAGGGUCAUGGGAAGAGAAACAGGCCUGGCAGAGUGGUCUCAAUGCCUGGAGGGACUCCGGCUGAGAACGUGAGAAGGCCCAAUCUCAUGGUGACCAAGCAGAUCUUCUGGAAUGACCUAGGGGGCCACUGCAUAGAUGUUCUCCCCAGCCUUGCUAUCACUCCACGAUGGUAAGUACUGAACAUGUGACAUGUACCUUUCUUUUUCCAGAACCGAACUCAACUAGCCCUGGACCCUCAGUUUUGCUGAGAGCAAAAUCAAAAUCAAAAUCAAAUCCUCCCUACUCAACCAUGAAAGGUACGUGCUGAGGCCGGCACUCAGAACAGUGCGCUGAGCUGGCUCAUGAACGUGACUUUUAAAAGCGAGGACUUUCUAAACCAGUCCUCUCAGAUUUGGCUCUUCUCAAUAAAGAAUUGAGAUGACUGGGUUGUAACCUUCUAUGCCAUCAAGGUAAGGAAUUCUUUGACAGGCACAGAUCAAUGUACCAUUGGAAACAUACCCCCUGGAAAAGCAAAAACCAGCCUCCAGUCAGGACACACGCAGUCAACGUGUGUUCCAGGAACAGAGAGCAUAAAUUCGGUUCCUUGCUUACCACCUACUGAGUCAGGCUUAAAGGGAGUCCUGGAUUAACGAGUGCUGUAUGGCCAACAGAGGGCUUUUAUGUUACAAGAUAAACAUGUGCUUUUUCAGGUUAUAGCACGUUCAGGAUAUCCUCCCCCUUCAGGGAACACGUCCAGAGAGGAUUUGCCGCUUCCUGGUGACUCAGGGGACCACACCAGCAUAUUUGGACUGUUGAUGGUCUCCUGGUGCCUAGGGGAAGACAGGACCAUGUGCAAGGGUGAAACGGGGCUGAGUAUGAGCAGACCAUGUUCAAUUGCAGUAGGGUUUCACUCGGUGCGAAGGAAGACAUCAGAGCCAAUUUGGGAGGCCACAAAUUUCCUUCUGCAUUCAGGCCAGUCCAGCCAGCGGAGCAUGCAGGUGUGUGUCCGUGUGUGGGUGGGUGUGUAUGUUGAGUAAGAAAAGUGCAAAAAUAUUACCUGUAGUGACUUUUGCUCUCCUUUACUCCCACAUCCAAUCAUUCAUCUCCUUGGAUUGGUGGUGUUACAUCCACCCACCCACUAGCCUAGUUCACAGUCAGGGCUGCCCAAUACAGAAGCCACGUGAGGCUAUUCGAACUUAAGUUUAAAUGGAUGUGAAUUAAAUAGAAUUAAAAACUCUAUUCCUCAGGUACACUGGUUGCAUUUCAAAUACUCAAUAGACGCACGUGGCCUGUGGCUACCAUAAUGGGCAGCACAGAUAUAGAACAUCUCCAUUACUGCAGAAGUGUCUAUGGGACUUUCUAUCAGUCCUUACAUAUUUUGUUCUGUAUGGUGGGUCCUGCCUUCUGGGAGCCUACAGCCCAGUAGGGAAACAGACAGUAAGCAAGGAUUCUCUCAAAUGGAUCAGCAGUAACAGUUUGUGAUCGUGCUACCAAAGGAAGAUGCUGGGUGCUUGGAGAGAGUCCAAUGUGAGCGAGGUCUAAGUGGAGGCCUAAAGAAUGUGUGGAGAAAAUGGUUUCCCACUAGAAAGUGUGUUCCUGUGGCACAGGGCAUGGUGGAGCGGGGACAAGGGUGUUAAAUGUACAGAGGGAGAGAAGGGGCGAGAGCAGUAGGAGGAUGGCAUUCCAGAAUGUCUCCAGGCUGCUCUGCCUCUGCUUUAUGUUUUCAAGCCCAAAUAGGUUCUGCUUUCUGAUCUAUCCUGCUCCCUGCUGCAUCCUCAGGCUCCCAAUCCAAAUCAGGUUUUACCCAAGAUAAUUGAGACUAGGAAACAUGAGAACUUUCAAUUCCUAAAAUUUAAAUUAAAUUAAAACUGCCAUCCUUUGCACAUCUAGUGGAAAAAGUCCAGCUCAAUUUGCUAACUGCCCCCUGGCUGAGGAAGAAAGGCAGGCAGCACCUGUGUGAACGAAUCUCGGGGACCACAUAUAGAGAACCACGUGACAUAUAGAGAACGCAGUGACUCGUGGCUACGUGGAGGAAGGAAGAGGAGCAUUAUGAAAAACCCAUUUCUCCCGGGAAAGAGCACGGUGACAGGAGAAAGGAGACCAAAUGCAAGUGAAAUUAAUUAAAUAGAAUAUCUGUAAUGCGGCUCUAAAAUUAGACCGCGCUGGCAGAGUUUUCAUCUGAACAUUAUUUAUGGAAUUAUUUUAUGACUUCCUCCCUAAACAGAUGUUUCAAGAACAAAAUCGUAAGGGAAAGCCAGCACUUAUAACAAAAUUUCCAAAUAAUAUGCUAGUUUGCCUAAUAAAAAGAAUAAACACAAGGGUGGACCUCAAUGUCUAAUUUUAAUAAGCAAAUAGGUCAAGUUGGAAAACAGCCACUAACCAAGGUUCCUUCCCAAAGUAGCGGAAUGAAAUGAACUCUAAGCUAGCCAUUCUAAUGAUAAAAACAAACAAAUGAUCAAAAGGGGAUCUUAAAACAAUUCAAACUUUGUUUUAAUAAUUGUCUUAGGAGUGAUUUACACAAGGAAGCAUUGAAUGAGAAAAGUAAGGAGCAGAGAAGAAAGCAUGUGCCAUUUUUGAAAAGCAACGAGAAAACCCUUAUAUAAAUAUGGAGAAAAUUGUGAAAGAUAGGUACGAGUUCAGGAUAAUAUGUAAAAUACAAUUCUAUUUUGGUAAAAUCAAGGAAACAGAAGUCCUAUAUGCGUGUUUGUGUAACUGGCUUACCAGCUAUUCAUUUCUCUUUUACUGUACUUCCCACAUUGUAUUGUCAUCGUCUGUGAAGAGUUGGUCUUUUCCAUGAGAACAGGUCUCUACCCUCAUCUGUGUACUCCCGGUACACAACUACAAUCUCUGGCACGCCUUAGGCAUAAGAUGAAUUGUUGUUGCAUAAAUGACACCAACCAGACCAAAUGACAAGGUUGUGGGAGGAUGCAUGGGAAGAAGCAGAGAAAUACAAGGGUUAAGGGCCAGAGAACCAUGACCAGGGUGUUCACUGCGAGGAGAGGUGGUCACAGGAGCUGUGAAAGGUGUUUGCCGGACUCAGAUUUGACACCAAAGCCAGCAUCAGCUCCAUAAUUUGCAGAAUCUAGUGCAAAAUAACAUUUCAGCGUCUCUUGUUUAAAAAUUAUUGAGAAGUUCAAGAUGGCGACUGCAGAGCAUUAAACCAAGCGUGGGGCCCUGUGCAAGUGCACCAUCACACACCUAUGAAGCUGGCCCUGACUAAAGGCAGUCAAGAGUCCUUGAUGGAUUUUAAGCAGAGGCAAGCUGAAAGAUCCCUGCAGGUGCAUUGUAGACAGUUGUUAGCAGGAGGCCUGGGGAAACUUGGAAGAAAACCGCACUAGCCAAGAAAGAUUAGGAGGACCUGAACAAACUCGCCAGAAGUAGAAGUGUUGGAGAGCUGCAGAAGGGUCCGAGAGAAAAUUAAGGAGUUAGGAAGCACUAUCCUAAUUGUGCUGAGAGUGGUGACUGGGGAGGAGAGCUGAGGAACAGGGAUGGGACAGCCAGGAAACCUUGCAAGUGUCCGCCUCUGACAACCAGGCAAAUCAAGCUGCAGCAGAGCCAGCCGGUGAGGACAUCCAACACGCUCUUGAGAAUGAUGGUAAAACUUUAAAAGUGAUAACACGGAUGUUGCCGUGAAAGAGUAGAGAUGACAUACUAAUAGGCUCAGAGGAGUCAGACAUCAUUUCCUUCAAAGAACGUGGGAGAAGAAUAGGGAUUGUCCCAUUGCAAAGCUGAUGUUUGUGCCGCAUCUCGAAAUACUGUUCCUUUCUGUACAAAGGACAGCGGUCAGGAGAGUUCAGAUAGACAGUCACGUGCCUGGGUGGGUUAAGGCUCUGUGGAAAGAACUGUUGGUGUUUGGGAUCACAGCCCUUCUGUGAGCCAGGUGAGUCCUAUUUACAGGUGAUAUAAAGGAGGCAUAAGGAAGCAAGGUGACUUUCCCAAGGUCACAAAGAAAACUAGAAAAUAAGGUCACCCCACUCCUUACCAAUUGACCACACUUUCUCCUGAAAAAGCCUUCUGUUGUUUAGACUAUGUUAAUAACCUAUUGAACUAUCAACAUGGCAAAUUCAACAGAAGGCAGGGUAGAUUCUAGGCGUUAGACCACUAAGGAUCUGAAGGGUAAACAGUCAAAUGAUUGGAGAGGAGCUGGGCUCCAGGGUUAGCUUAUUCAUAACAACAUGCUUCUGGCAAAGACUUGCCUCCUGAUUUUUUUGAUCAAGCAAAUCACAGAGCCAGAUUCACCCCACAAGUGCUCACAAAUCCGUGGAAGGAUUUUUUUGGUUAGGUUAUGCCUGAAUGCCCAGUAUUGUUAUGAGAAAGUGCAUGUUGGAACAUUUGCUUCUUUCUUAUUGAUGAACAGCUGUGGAUGACAGAAACGUAAGACUCAGGAGUUUCUGUCCCUUGGCCCCUUCAGUCCGUUCUGGUUUAAGAUGAUUACAUAGCUAUUUUAUAUAAUAAGAGCCAGCCGCAUGGGAGAGACAAAUGGUUUUAUUUCUCAAACCAGCAUCAUCAAGGAUUACUCAAAAGCAUUGUCUCAUCCGUCUUCGCACGAUUUUACUCUCAUAAUAGCUUGGAAAUGGGAAGACAUUUUUCACAAGGCUGACUUUUAAUUAGUUAGCGAUGGAACUGUUAACAUUGGUGCAUCCUGCAAACGUGGACAUUCAUUAUCUGACCCUUCUGGCCAUAGCUGCCCCAUAAGUUUCCAUUCAUCAUGGUGAUGUCUUGGAUAGUUCGGCUCUGCUGUUCCAGAAGCCUUCACAAUGGAAUCCCACACCCUGGACAGUAAGUGGUCAAUGAAACUACUUCCCAGAAUCUUUCCAAAGGAGCCACAAAGCCACUGUUCCUGACCAUGUAAUUUAUCAUCCAAACACUUCUGUCAUAUCCUGGAACACUUUUGAAAGUAAAAGAAGGUUUUGUUAAUAAUUAUGUCGUCAAUAAACAUAAAUCAAAUCUAAAUGAGAAAACCCAGGACGUAUGUUCAUUCUAACUCUUAUCAAUGUAAUUUCAAAGGUAAGCCAGCAAGCUUUUCCUACAGAGAUAAGCACCUUGCAUCCUACAUAGAUAUGUGUUCACCAAAGGUAGAAAUAAAAUGCAUCAGUCAACUGACAACUGAAUCUUAUGUUAGCCUUUUUUCCCUCCAUACAUUUGAAUCAGUUGACUCUCAAAAAUAGUCCUGGAUGUUCAGAAGACACUGGCAUUUUUUCACUUAAAGUUAAGGGCACUUAAAUCCCAGGACUAAAGAAAUUACUAUUGCAAGUGAAUACGUUUUACUUUGGCUCACUCCAGUCACUGUGUCUGGAAUUAUUAUUUAUUGAAUAAAUAAAUGAGGAGAUAAAUUAAUUUCAUGAAAAAUACAUCUGGUUGCGUCUGAUCUUCUCUGAAAGGUGUGUUGAAGAAUAAAUUGGCAAUGAUAGCCUAUAAGCACUUCAAUGUAGCAAAGAGAGAAGACAAUGCCCAUUUCAACGUUUACUAUGUGCCAGGUAGUAUUCGAGGCCCUUUAUAUAAGCUUUCUAUUUUAAUCCUCAAAACAGUCCUAUUAGAUAUUGUUACCCUCAUCUUACAAUUGAGAAAACAAAGGUUCAAGUUAGCACAGUAACUAAACAGAUCAGUUACAUGAUGGCCCAAACCAUGGGCGUCUGAUCCUACAACUCAACUUUUUUCCUUUUCCAUCAUGGAUGAUUACAACUCUAUAUGGAUCACCCAAAGGAAAAAUCUUAGCAUUAAUAGAAAUUUUUAAAUAUUUCAAAGUGGGUAAGGGAAUUAAAGUUUAGAAGGAGGAUAAAAAUCAAUUAAAAUUAUAUAUGUGAAUACACAAAACAAAAAACGACUUUCGCAUUAUGUUAGAGUCUUAAGCACGUGUGUGUCCCAAUAUUAUCAGCCAUCUUUAUCAAAGAGCAUUUAUUAAGUGACAGUUUUCACAUGCUUUUCUGUGUCACUCACAAAAGGAACUAUAUAGAUUCCUUGUCCUUUCCUUUGGAGAGUGUCAUCCUCCGGGUAUUAGAUCAAUGAGAAGAAGUCAUUUCCACAGCUCAAGAAAUCUACUAAUCACUGAAUGACGAGAUGAGAGGCCAUCUGAGGAGAACCAAAAUUAAAAUGGUCUCAACAGCGUCCCGGUGGAUUUCUACAAAAUCUUUUAAUAAAAGCAGCUGGAAUUUCAUCCUGGCUCACCCGCUUUCAUUAUGAGUCCCAAGUACUUCAAUCUUAUUUUUUUUCUUUUUACUACUAGCGCCAAAUAGCAGAGUCUUGAAAAUGCUAGGCAGAUUGUUUGCUUUUCAUUUUGUUCCUUUCUCAGGUUCCUUUUGCAAAUGUGUUUUGGGCUCAGCAUUCCUUAGACAUAUUUCUUUGCCCCUAGUUAUUGACACGAGUGUUUCCCUGGGACCAUGUUUAGCCAUGAAGGCCACUUGGCCACUAAGAUUUAAGGCAUAUUGCUGACUUGGAAGCUACCCUGAGCAUCGCUGCCCUACUGGUAGGUACCCCAAACUUGGGGGCAAGCCACGUCAGAGGUAGCUGUUGGUUUGAAUUGAGGUAAGUCUUGCUCUCAUCCUUUCUCCUAUAGAAAACAGGCAGCCCUUAAAGCCCAGCCCAAUGUCCCCAAAGUGUCCAUCUGCCAAGGGCAGUGUCAUCCCAGCAGUACUCUUUGCUGAUGAAGUCUAGUGGGCACAAGCCUAGGAUAUCAGCUGGCCCAAAGCUGGUGUCUUUCAACAGACCACGCAGCAAAUGGGAAAAUAAUGGGGCUUGGACCCUCAGCCUUGAAUUUCAAUUCCAGUUCUAUCGUUUGGUAGUAAUUAGUAUCCUAAUUAGCUGGGAAGGCUAUUUAGAUACAUUCAGCUUCUGUUUUCUUGUUUUCUAAAAUGGGCUGUUCCUAUAUAACUAGAAAGACUAACCAAAAAAAGACAUUGCUUUAAAUACAAAAACCUAACUGCAGACAUUUCUAAUUUGUGUGGCUGGCAGAAUAAGUCUCUGCGGUGUUUAGGAACUGCCUUCAUUUGGUCUUGAUGAGUCAGCUGGGCUUGAUGAAGAUGAUACCACUUUGGCAGAGCUGCGUGAACUGAGACGUUGGAAAAACCAGAUUUCUAUGCCCAACAACGCAUGAGGAAUACUGUGGCUCUGCAGGUUACUCCCGAUCAGGGGGAAGGGUUCCAUAAACAGAAGAGAGGGAUGGAGAGAGUCAAUAAGGGGCACCCCCAAGAUGUAUGGGAGGCAGGGGCAGGCCCAAUGGGGAAGCUUAUGCACAUGGGGUCCUGCACAAAGAUGGCCAGCAAGUGGGGGCAGGUUAGACAAGGGGGCCUGGAGUUCUGUUCAAGUCAAGCCAAUUAUAUGCCCUGAAUGAAUGACUGCCUUCUCCUUCAGGCAAUGCCACCUAAGGUAGCCACAGCCCUGGGCAGGGGCCUACAAAGAGACACAGCCAUAUGACAAUUCCCAAUCAAAUCAAACGUCAAAUUUGAAGGUAUUUCAAAUUUGUGUGCUGUCCUCUUCCUACAUUCCUCCCUUCCGUACUCCUUACACCUCCAGUAAAUAUGUGCCGCUCACAGUGGACUAUGUGUUAGCGGGGCUGCAGGGAUUACAAGAAGGUAGGUGGUGGCCACCAUGGGGUGAAAUGUCAUGGAAAAAGACAGCAGCUCAAGAAAUGGGAAAUAAUUGUUAUCAACUAGGUUCAGAAAGAGAAAGAAAAAGAGAAAUAGCUGGAGUAAAAAGAUAGAUAAUAUCAGAGCUGCAAGUGACUGAGUUAGGAGAAGAACCACCACCACCCGAACAAAACAAACCAAAUCUGUGGAGAUAUCGAAAAGGGCCCUCGACUCCUGCACCAUGAGAUGUGCAGCCAACUUUGGGAUACGAAAGGGAGGAGGGUGUGAGAGCAUCCCGGUGACACUCAAAGAGUGGCCUCUGUAUACGUUAGCCUCUCCAGCUUAAUGGAAAAACUGGAAUAACAGUACGAAAUUAGAAGGAAAAAAAUCAGGAGCCAAGAGAUUACGCACUGGAGGUGUGUCCACUUGCCUUUCCCAGCCCCACGUGUAGCCUGAUCACCCUUUUCCUCUCCUUCCAUCUCUGACGUCCUUGUGUGUCUGGCAAGGCCAGGCCAGUUGACACAGGAGAAUGUCCAUGUUCCUGGUGUGAAAUACUGAGGCCAUGAUUCUGAGAAAAUGUUCCUCCUUGUAAAUACCCUAGGAAACUAAAUCAGAGGUUUCUUUUCUCAGUGAGUGGCUUUAUUUCCAAGCCUUUUCUGUCUUCAAGAGGUGUGAGUUCACAUUUAUGGCAUGAAACCCAGAAUGGUUCUGUGGGCAUCCUCUAUAGUCAAUGCAGGCUUAAGCUCUCUAUUGUAAAAUUCACGAGACACUGGGGGCCCUUUUGUAUUCUCAAAGCACUUCAGAUCUGGUUAUUGUAAGGAGGCAAGCAACUAAACAUUGCAUGACUGUGUAAAAAUCAAAGGACUAUUCUAGAUGACAGGAGGGCUGCCACAAGGUUUUUAAAUAUCAUCUCAUGUGGCUGAGCUGCUAAAGAGAAAUUGCAAAAUGUAUGUGCCUUAUGACACUUAAAGAGAUACAGUCAAUAUCUUUGAAGCAAUUUGUUUUUUCAGCUAAGAGAAAAUGAAAUAUUUUCGAUUGCCUGGCUCCGUGUGCAGCUGGGACCCAUUCCUGACCAUGGUCCAUUAGUUCCAGCAUGCUUGGGCCUGGCUUUGCCUUUCCAUCUAGGAGAGGAAGGUACCAAAGAAAAGGCUGAUGGGCAGGUUACAGGACACUACUUGCUGUAGUCAUUCCAUCCUCCGCUUGACUAUCCAAAGACCAUUAAUCUCAUCUCAAUGGAUUUGAAGAUUCUAGAAUGGUUGGAUGAUCUGGUAAUGAGAGCAGCUGGAUAAAUACAAAAAUAUCCCCAAAUUGUUUUUUCUUAAGAAGCUCUCUGUUCAUCUGAGUUAAUCAAAAGGUAGAUAGAUGGUAAUUCAGGCCAUGCACCUGCCUUUUAGGCAAAGCAAAUGAUGUAGAUGAAAACUGAAAAUAAUUGCUCCACAAAGUCAGGGAAGGAGGUGGAGUGGGAGGGAAGGGCAAAAGGAGGGAAGAGAAAGACAGAUUAAGUGUAAUAAAUACACACGGAUUAAUUUGUCCCUUUAACCCUGACCUCCACUCCACCCCCAAACACACUGGUGACUGUUGGUAGGUGUGACUAUGAACACGAGUGUGUCUGUAUGAGUCUGUGUGUUUGGGGUAUGCAUGUUGGGGGAGGGUGAACAGGUCAGAGUGCAUUAGAUGUGGGGUAUUUGGGAGUGUGUAUGGGUGUGUAGGGUAUGCACCUAUGAAGGAUGUAUGUAUGGGUGAAUGAAUAAGGGGUGUGGGGCUGUGGGCAUGGGAAGAAAUCAGAAAAGAGAAUGUGUGUGGGAGUAUGCAGGUGAUAUGCAUAGACUACACAUAUGGAGUGUUAUGUUUGUAGGGUGGUGGGUGUGGGUGUGUGUACAUCAGGUGGGAGGUGUGUGCACAAGCUACGUGUAUGCCUCUGGGGUACAUGUUUAAGGUGGGGUAUAUGAAUAGAGACUGAAGGUGGGUAUGGUGGAUAAGAGCAGGGUGGCGUGUCUGUGCAAUGAAAGUGAUGUAUGGGACCCUCUGAAAAGCAAACCAAGCCUUCCUUUGCCUCAGCUGCCCUGCCCUGGGCCCCACUGCAGACUGCAGAGUGUCCUUUCACAGAGAUGUCCCUGUGUGCUCUCAAUAGUCAGUCCCCGGGAACUGCUUCUGAAUCCGAGCUACAGUUGGAAUUCUACACUGUUUCUCCUUUGCUGGGACUCAGAGGACUGAUUUGCUAUGAUUUAUGCGACUAUAGACCUUCAUUUCCUCCAUGGGACUGAUGUCCUGAAUGUGUUCUUUUCUCCUGGUCCAGGGAGAGAAAAGUAUCUCUGGGCCAGAAUUUCUCCUGAUAAAUCAUCAUCAUCAUCAUCAUCAUCAUCACCAUCAUCAUUGUCGUUAUCGUCGUCAUCAUCAUCGUCAUCAUCAUUCCCACGUGUUGCAGAGCACUUGACAUUUACUGCGUGUCAUCAUCUCACUGCACUGCCACGUAAUAAAUAAGCUAAGGACACACUGUCUUUUUCGAAAGGUUAGAUUUGUAGCAUAAAAUACAUAGUUCUAUAGCAUAAAAUUUGCUAACAAAUCCAUGCAAGUCAAGGAAAAACCUGUCUGAAGAGAGUAAAUCCAAAGAGUUCUCAUCACAAGGAGAAAUUUUUUUUCCCUUUUUCUCUUCUUCUUUCUUUUUAUUGUAUCUCUAUGAGAAGACGGAUGUUAUCCAAACCUGUGGUCAUCAUUUCACAAUAUAUGUAACUCAAACCAUCAUGCUGUACACCUUAAACUUAUACAGUGAUGCAUGUCAAUUAUUUUCAAUAAAACUGGAAAAAAAGAAAGAGAAAAAAUUGUCUGAAAUCCUAGGCCGAGGAGAACGAGAGAUGUGCAAAUCGACACACGCUCUCUGUUUCUUGUCCAAAGCCUCAAUCCAUUCAAGGUCUUGUUUGUUUCUACCCUUCCAUGAAAAGUCUUUUAAUACAGCUUCAAUUUCUUUACCCCUUAUACCACCUCCCUCUACUGCAAAAUUAAUACUCCAUAAUAUUUCUCUGGAUGGUUACGUAGAUAAAUAUAACCUUGGUUGUCAUUUUCAGAGUGUCAAUAGACGCAUUGCAAAGCUGCUGAUGAUAAUAAUAAGCACACUGUGCCUCCGUGUUUCUGAUGGAACCCGGCAGAGAGGAGCUGGUUAUAGCGUCUGUCUCAGGGGCACAGCAGACUUUUUCAAAGGCCUCCACAUUUCCACUUCACAAACAUCCAUUCCCAGGAAAGCAAAACAGGAAUUUCUCAAGGACAACAAAACAGCAGCAAUGAGGUAAUUUGCAGACAAAGAUAUUGCACAUGUGCCAAACCUUUGAUAUUGAAGUCUAAGCUCCACCUAUUUAAAGCAGUGUUGCCAAUGGCACCUCACAGUUCCACAAAGUAUUUUCUCCAAGGAAGGGAGAAAGGAAAAUGGCAGCAAGGACUGUAAACUGCCCCUGUUUGUGCAGUGAAAUUUUCUCUGACUAUAACGGAGUGAAAAGCUGGAAGGUUAUUCAAAUACACAGGGAACUCGCUUCUUGCUUUUAUGGCCCAGUGACUUCGUUAUCCUUCUGCAUGAGGAAUAGGAGUGACAAAUGUCCUCAAAAUUUGCAUCUCCAUCAUCCAAGCCUCCACUGGGCAGGAGGGAAGCAGCUCCGAUGCCUUGAGGCAAAUUGUUCAUCUGGAGCACUCCAUGUGGCUUCUGGACUAAGUCUUUCUGAAUGUCAGAAGGCUGCAUAGCUAUUACAGAGACCCAGAUGGCAGAUCAUGCCACACCUCUCUCCUGGCACUGUCCUGGGGCCGUGUCCAGGGAGGCGCAGAUGCUACACCAUCGCUAAAGCUGGACUCAUCCCCACGAUAGGACUGGGGCUAGGAACAUUAUGAUCAGGUUGAGAGGGUAAGAUCAUUUGAUUAAAUGCAAGGAACUUGUUGACAGGUUGGAACACUAUUUUUCCCUUUGUGGAAUUGUUUCAAAGACUGAUUUAGACUUCAUAGAGUAACAGUAAUCAGCUCAUUCAGGAAUGAGGAUACAAACAAAGUGUGGACACGAAAUGUGUCAGAGCACACGUGUAAAUGCCAUCCAUCCAUGCACUCUGCAAGCAUGUGUUGAGAGCCUGCAGUGGCUGAGCAUGGGUCUUAGAGUUGGGAAUCUGGAGAUGUCUAUAUCAGAUCCUGCACACUCAAGAAGCUCAGAGAUGGGGGCCGGCCCGGGG